CCUUACCCUGGAGGGCGGCGGCGGCGUCCCCGGGGGCGCCGGGGCGGCCGAGGUGCAGGCCCCCGAGGAGCAGGGCGCAGCGCAGCAGCCAGGAGCCCCAGACGCUGCGUCACAGCUCCCCGGCUGGCGCGGGCAGGCAAGCAACUGCAAAACUUUCCGCACGCUUCCCGGCGGCGUGGUGGGACCUGGGCUGCGAGGCCGGGUCGGCCGGGGGCGAGGGCUUGUGGCUGACCCAGGUGGCCAGACCCGGGCCACCAUCACGCCCCCACCAUCCCGCCUUUCUGCCGAGGUCCCUGGCCACUGAGCAUCUGCUACCUCCAUGCCCAGGGCAUUUGCAUGACCCCCGUGUCAGUGCCCCUGGCGCAGAAGGAGUGUAACAUUUUUGCUAGUUGGAGCUGCAUCCAGAAACCUGGGGCAAAUCUGUCCACCGGCUGUCCCAGAAGACCGACAUCAUCACUCCCACCAACUGGACUGCUGGCCGGUAGCAAAGGACCAAAUGGAAAUUUCAUAAAAGAGAAGACAAUCCGCUGUUAUUCAGUAUUAUGCAACAGGUCACUGCAGCGCAGAGCGCUGGGUCAGGAGUCAGGAUGCUGGGAGUCCAGCCCCACCUCUACUGCUGAUUCCCUGAGCGACCUUGGAAAAGCCAUUUCUCUGGUCUUAGAGCAGGACUGAGACAUUUACUGACCUUAAGUUCAAAGAAAGACUCGUGCUCUUCUACCAAGAGUAAUCAAAUAAAAACACUAUGAAUGUAAUAUAAAUUUUAU